GACAGAUGUAGGCAUCACACACUUUCGUUCAGGAAUGAGUCAUGAAGAAGACCAGCUCAUCCCCAACUUGUACCGCUACAUACAGCCAUGGGAGAGCGAGUUCAUUGAUUCUCAGCGGGUCUGGGCUGAGUACGCACUCAAGAGGCAAGAGGCCAUUGCUCAGAACAGACGCCUGACUUUAGAAGACCUAGAAGAUUCAUGGGAUCGUGGCAUUCCUCGAAUCAAUACCCUCUUCCAGAAGGACCGGCACACACUGGCUUAUGAUAAGGGCUGGCGUGUCAGAACUGACUUUAAGCAGUAUCAGGUAUGUGGAGGGAGGAGAUUUUCCCUGAGUCAGGAAAAUCCAUGGCUAUCCCGGAAACUUGGGGCAAUAGGCACCCAGAAGCUUGACCAUGCCUGCCUUGCCAUCUAGGUUUUGAAGCAGAAUCCGUUCUGGUGGACACACCAGCGGCAUGAUGGGAAGCUCUGGAACCUGAACAACUACCGUACAGACAUGAUCCAGGCCCUGGGCGGUGUGGAAGGCAUUCUGGAACACACACUCUUUAAGGGCACUUACUUCCCUACCUGGGAGGGGCUUUUCUGGUGAGGAUUCUCCUCUCUUAGAGGGACCUAUCACAACCCUUUGAGCUCAUCUCUUGUGUGCAUCUG
rnacentral:sRNA from 1 species